UUUUGGACAAUGGGCGCAAGCCUGAUCCAGCCAUUCCGCGUGCAGGAUGAAGGCCUUCGGGUUGUAAACUGCUUUUGUACGGAACGAAAAGGUUUUCUCUAAUACAGGGGACUGAUGACGGUACCGUAAGAAUAAGCACCGGCUAACUACGUGCCAGCAGCCGCGGUAAUACGUAGGGUGCAAGCGUUAAUCGGAAUUACUGGGCGUAAAGCGUGCGCAGGCGGUGAUGUAAGACAGAUGUGAAAUCCCCGGGCUCAACCUGGGAACUGCAUUUGUGACUGCAUUGCUGGAGUGCGGCAGAGGGGGAUGGAAUUCCGCGUGUAGCAGUGAAAUGCGUAGAUAUGCGGAGGAACACCGAUGGCGAAGGCAAUCCCCUGGGCCUGCACUGACGCUCAUGCACGAAAGCGUGGGGAGCAAACAGG
rnacentral:rRNA from 1 species